rnacentral:RNase_P_RNA from 1 species
UCAGACGGUCCGACAGGCUGCUCUUUCCGGCAGGUUCGCCUGAACCGGAAAGGGAGGAAAGUCCGGGCUCCACGGGAAUACGGUGCCGGAUAACGUCCGGCGGGGGCGACCCCAGGGAAAGUGCCACAGAAAGGAAACCGCCUGUAGGUCAGAAUUUCUUCGGAGGUUCGACAGGCAGGUAAGGGUGAAAGGGUGCGGUAAGAGCGCACCGCGCGGCCAGCAAUGGAAGCGGCAUGGUAAACCCCACCGGGAGCAAGACUAAAUAGGGUCGACAGAACCACAGGGCCUCGGCCUUGCGGGUUCAGGUGUUUUUCCGCACCGUCGACCGGGUCAGUUGCGCGAGGUGUUCAGCAAUGAACAUCCCAGAUGAAUAGCCUUCCGUUGUCACAGGGCUCCGGUUCUGGGGCAAGCGACAAAACCCGGCUUAUGACCGUCUGACAUU